rnacentral:lncRNA from 1 species
UGACCUUGUAGUAUGAUUCUGUCGUUUUUUCAGGUCGCAUCCGGAACAUUAUGUGAAAACUUUCAACUGAACCCAAUUCGAAGCCGAGAAAUUUCCCAGCUUGACAUAGAUGAAUGCUGAUGCGAAAACGACCUAGAGAAAAAAAAAACAGGGGUGCAAAUCUCUUGGAUAGAGACUGUUUUUUUAUCUAUAAAAUUACUGGCAGUAGUAUCAAAUGUGUCACACACAAAUCUUGAUCAAACUAGCAAUGUGAAUUUCUGCUAGCUGUGCUGCUUUCGUGUGCAAGAAAACACAGCUUCAUCAUGACUGAAGAAGCCUCACGAAAACGGCUAGAUGCUGUUGCAACCUAACUCCUGGUAGGAGUAACUUCAGAUUGAGAUUUGAGGGGACACCUGGAUUCUGGAGUUUACACAAGUGGCCUCAAAUCUUUUGCAUCCAUAGGCCAGGCACAUAUUCCAGUGUGACAAUAAUUCAAUCCACUGACAAUAGCACAGGCACAAAGUAGAGGUUACUGCAUAAGAACAAUCACCAAGAUGACAAUGUCUAAAGCAGAUAUGCUUCAGGUUCUGUUCAGGCUGCACUAGACAUAGGGUACUGUUUUAUUGAGAUCCAGUACUCAUGUACUGGUUUGGGAGUACAUCAUACAUAGGUAGUUCGUAGCCACGGCCAUUGCCAUCUUACUCCAGUGCAAUCUUAUGCUACCAUCACAAUCUGAACCAGCAAAGAAGC